rnacentral:rRNA from 1 species
UACGUAGGGUGCGAGCGUUGUCCGGAUUUAUUGGGCGUAAAGAGCUUGUAGGCGGCUCGUCACGUCGGGUGUGAAAACUCGCGGCUCAACCGCGAGCCUGCACCCGAUACGGGCGGGCUGGAGUUCGGCAGGGGAGACUGGAAUUCCUGGUGUAGCGGUGGAAUGCGCAGAUAUCAGGAGGAACACCGGUGGCGAAGGCGGGUCUCUGGGCCGAUGACUGACGCUGAGAAGCGAAAGCGUGGGGAGCGAACAGGA